GAUGAACGCUGGCGGCGUGCUUAACACAUGCAAGUCGAACGGUGAAGGCGGAGCUUGCUCUGCUGGAUCAGUGGCGAACGGGUGAGUAACACGUGAGCAAUCUGCCCCUGACUCUGGGAUAAGCGCUGGAAACGGCGUCUAAUACUGGAUACGAGCUGCGAAGGCAUCUUCAGCAGCUGGAAAGAAUUUCGGUCAGGGAUGAGCUCGCGGCCUAUCAGCUUGUUGGUGAGGUAAUGGCUCACCAAGGCGUCGACGGGUAGCCGGCCUGAGAGGGUGACCGGCCACACUGGGACUGUGACACGGCCCAGACUCCUACGGGAGGCAGCAGUGGGGAAUAUUGCACAAUGGGCGAAAGCCUGAUGCAGCAACGCCGCGUGAGGGACGACGGCCUUCGGGUUGUAAACCUCUUUUAGCAGGGAAGAAGCGAAAGUGACGGUACCUGCAGAAAAAGCGCCGGCUAACUACGUG
rnacentral:rRNA from 1 species